rnacentral:lncRNA from 1 species
CGGCGCCAUACGCGGGCAUGGCGGACACCGCCGCCGCGCCUUGCGCACUGAACGCGUUGCCGCCGUACAUUGCCGACGGCGCGACGGGCGCACCGUAAAAGCCACUGCCAUUGUUGUUGAUCGAGUUGUUGUUGUUGUCCAUGAUGUGACCGGAUGCGGUUCGCCCGACGUUCGCCCUUGUGCGUCGUCUGUUGGAUUUUCAGUGGAGCGCGCUCGUCGCGUGCGAGUGGGAGACUGAAACCAGUGCGAAUGCGGCAGAGAGGAGCCCGAAAAGAAGGGACCGUGGCGCUUUGAUCGUCGAAAGAGGCUCGCCUUUACCUGGUGAGAAGCGAGGAAAAGCGCCUGCCGCCGCGCCUUGUUGUGCACCGCACGUGCUCUCUCUCUCUUCUCUCUUCCUCGCCUUUUUUCUCGCCCUCUUUAUUUUUGUUCGAUCCCACUGACGGCGCAGUCUCUUUUUUUUGUCUCUGUGUGUGUUGCAUGGCCCAAGUCGUCGGACAGGGGGGAUGCGCUCUCUGUUGCAACACAAGCCAGUGGAAAUUGGCCAUGGGAGCGUGCCGUUGCGCCCAACAUGACCCGCUGGCUCGGGCCGCUUUCGGCGCAGCCUUUGGAAAAGAAAACGGUUGCGUCAACACACAAUCCGACCCAUAGACAACGGCCUUUUUUGCGUGAUCCUACAACCAAUAAAAAAAAGACAAGGGACGGCAGCAAAAAACAAACAGCCAACACCGAGGCGACGAAAGGCGAGCAAAAGGUAG